GGAACAUAAGUGUAGCUCGGUAUCGUGUGCACAUUUCGCUCGUGCCAGCACACAUUGUCUAUGGUUCCAAAUUGAAGGCCGUGAGAGACUUUAAGCUAGUUUACAACCUCGGUUGGCGCAAGGCGAACUAGUCAUCCCGAUGCAUGUGAGAAUUAUAUGAACCUGCAUUUACUCACUGCAAAAACGAAGAUUACUUUUGUACUAUAAAUGUACUAAUGAAACGCUGUUGUACUAUAAAAUGAAAUGAAGAUCGUUCGAUAUCUCGUAAAAUUAUUUUGAGGACAAAUGGAACUGGGAGAGAUACUAGAUAAGAAACAAGAAGCAACGCACAAGUUUGAAGCUGUAAAUGUCAUCAAGAAGCCAUCCUUGGAAAUCUUAAGUGGCACAAUGACCGAGAUGCAAGGUUAACAUAAUAUGCCGCACUUUCUCCCAAGUGCAUCAACGAGAAGUGCAAUGCAAGAAUAAACAUGGAGUGAAGAGGCAUCUGAGUAUAAAUCUUAUCUUAAAUUUUUAUUUGUAUCUUUGUCUUUCUAAACGUUCUUAUUCAUUGGGAUUUCCGUAUUAUUAAAGUGUCUAAUAUGUAAUUUGAGAAUGUAUUCGAGAAAUAUCUUUGCUAUAUUUUUUCUAGAAAUAUUACACGUUUUUGAAAUUUUUAACGAUUUCAAACUUCCAUAGUAUGUU
rnacentral:misc_RNA from 1 species